rfam:Acidobacteria bacterium 13_1_40CM_56_16 13_1_40cm_scaffold_509, whole genome shotgun sequence.
GGAGAGAUGUCCGAGUGGUUUAAGGAGCACGCUUGGAAAGCGUGUGUGGGGGUGACUCCACCGUGGGUUCGAAUCCCACUCUCUCCG